rnacentral:lncRNA from 1 species
AUGGUGACAACACCAAGAUUGCCAAAGUGCCCAAACCUCCACCACNNNNNNNNNNNACAGAGCUCCAUCCCAUCCCAGUUCUGCCCCAUCCCAGUACAGCUCCAUCCCACCAUGCUUUCAAUCCCAGUACAGAGAUCCACCCCAUUUCCAUCCCAUCAAGGAGCUCCAUCCCAUCACAGCUCCAUCCCAGCACAGAGCUCCAUUCCAUCCCAAUUCUGUCCUAUACCAGCACAGCCCCAUCCCAGAAUGGAGCUCCUCUCCAUCCCAGUUCCAUCCCAUCAUGGAGCUCCAUCCCAGCACAGCUCCAUCCCAGUACAGAGCUGCAGCCCAUCCCAGUUCCAUCCCAUCAUGGAGCUCCAUCCCAGCACAGCUCCAUCCCAGUACAGAGCUGCAGCCCAUCCCAGUUCCAUCCCAUCAUGGAGCUCCAUCCCAGCACAGCUCCAUCCCAGUACAGAGCUGCAGCCCAUCCCAGUUCCAUCCCAUCAUGGAGCUCCAUCCCAGCACAGCUCAAUCCCAGUACAGAGCUCCAGUCCACUACUGCUCCAUCCCAUCCCAGUAUGGCUCCAUCCCAUCCCAGUAUGGCUCCAUCCCCUCCCAGUAUGGCUCUGUCACGUCCCAUCCCAGCACAGCCCCAUCCCAGCAUGGAGCUCCUCUUCAUCCCAAUUCCAUCCCACCAUGGAGCUCCAUCCCAGCACAGCCUCAUAUGAGCACAGAGCUCCAUCCCAUCCCAGUUCUGUCCCAUCCCAGUACAGCUCCAUCCCAGUACAGAACUCCACCCCAGUACAGUGCUCCUUUCCAUCCCAGUUCCAUCCCAUCAUGGAGCUCCACUCCAGCACAACUCCAUUUCAAAACAGAGCUCCAUCCCAGCACAGCUCCAUCCCAGUACAGAGCUGCAGCCCAUCCCAGUUCCAUCCCAUCAUGGAGCUCCAUCCCAGCACAACUCAAUCCCAGUACAGAGCCCCAUCCCAGUUCUGUCUCACCCCAGCACAGCCCCAUCCCAGUACAGAGCUCCACCCCAGUAUCAGCCCCCUACAGAGCUCCUUUCCACCCCAGUUCCAUCCCACCAUGGAGCUCCAUUCCAGCACAGCCCCAUCAGAGCAGGUUCUGAUGCCAAAAUUCAGCAGUGUAACAUGGAACAUUGGAACCUUUCCAUUCAGUUCAGUUCUACUAUUUUGCUGCUUAUUUUCUCUCUGUUCUACAGAAAUAAUAAUAAUAAUCUUUUCAUUACAAAAAUCAGGAUUUGGAUGA